rnacentral:rRNA from 1 species
GACAGAGGAUGCAAGCGUUAUCCGGAAUGAUUGGGCGUAAAGCGUCUGUAGGUGGCUUUCCAAGUCUUUUGUCAAAUCCCAGAGCUUAACUUUGGAUAGGCACGAGAAACUCGAGAGCUUGAGUAUGGUAGGGGCAGUGGGAAUUCCCGGUGUAGCGGUGAAAUGCGUAGAGAUCGGGAAGAACACCGAUGGCGAAAGCACUCUGCUGGGCCAUUACUGACACUGAGAGACGAAAGCUAAGGGAGCGAAUAGG